rnacentral:rRNA from 1 species
UACGGAGGGUGCAAGCGUUGUUCGAAAUUACUGGGCGUAAAGCGCACGCAGGUGGCAUAGCAAGUCUGAUGUGAAAGCCCGGGGCUUAACCCCGGAACUGCAUCGGAGACUGCUAAGCUAGAGUACGAUAGGGGAAAGUGGAAUUCCAAGUGUAGAGGUGAAAUUCGUAGAUAUUUGGAGGAACAUCAGAGGCGAAGGCGACUUUCUGGAUCGAUACUGACACUCAUGUGCGAAAGCGUGGGGAGCAAACAGG